UUCAUCUAAAAUGCAGUCAGCCUUUAACUUUGUACGCUAAUGUAUUAUCAUAUCUCACAUAUUUUUUUCUGCAUGAGAAAUCAUACUUUAUAUCGACAAUAUUAAUCUCGUGAUAGAUAAAACAGAAUUUGACGAGGCAGUCGGUCAAAAUACUAAUUCUCAACUAGGUAUAUACGGUACCUACGGACGAGCUAUGGUACCGGAAUAAGAUCUUUAUAUACAUGAUACAAUUUGAUUCAGAUUAAUAAAUACUAAUAAGCUAGUACAAAUGAGUGCUAGUGGAUCAGGUCAAAUAUAUCCAGGAGAACAAUUAUUGAAUGGGCCCAAGUGAAUCAAGAUUGAUUAGAUUAAGUCACAUGAGAUAAUGUGUUCAGGAAAUGGGUCUGUGCCACUGAUAUCUCAAAUUCGCAAAUAAUAUUUGGAAGGUCAGAACACCUGAGUAGCACAUCAGAAUCAGGCUAUAUAAAUGUGACUGGAUCACUAGGAUCAGGUCAUAUGAAUUCGGGUGACCGACCUAGGCUAGAGCAUAUGGGCACUAACGGUUCAUCUAAAUCAGGACAUGUCAGUACAAGCUUCCCCAGGUGCACGAAUAAAUCACGACUAUUGAGUUCAAAUGUUCCUGAGCAAAUGAGCACAAGAACACUCUUGUUACAAAGAGAAAUAGAAGGAGUUGGAAGUCAAUUGAGUCUAGAGACAAUAAUAAAAUCAAAUACAAUUAAGUUAGACAAAUAAGCAGUAGCCGGAACGGACCCGAACGGACUGAAAAUCAUUUCGGGCAUUACAGCAGUGGAGAGUAAAAUUUUAUCCUUUUUAAAAAAAAAAGGAACAAAGGAAAAUGACAAUCCCUUUACUCCAAAAAAAGCCCGGUGAAAAUUCCAGUCAACAAGAGCAAAUAUGCUGAUGAAAGUGAACUGCAUAUCGACACACCUUCGGAAUAUUUCGAAUAUAACGAUUAUAACACUCCAAUGACGGCAAAAACAAAAAGAAUUAAGGAAUGAAAGAAUUAAUUAAUCAAAUCGGCCAUGAGGAGGCAGAAAAAUAUAAGAGAUCUUACAAAAAGCGAGGAGGAAAGGAUAUCCUCGCAAUCAGAAAGAGAAAUAGAAUACUCCAUUAAACAACUGGAAGUGAAUGUGUUAAUUAAUACACUAACUGAAGUGAUUCUAAACACAAACAAAAUAAAUACGAAACUUCACCUAGCAGAGAUCAUUAAAGAGAAUAACGAACAUAUAAGUGGCACUUCUGAGUGGAUCCAAGGAUUAAGUAAAAAAAUAAAGGUAAGGAUUACACCGGUCAAGAAAACGGUUACUCAUAGAAAAUCGGUGGCAACGUCGCGCCCUAAAUAGUAGCUACAAAACACACAUUGAUAUAAAAAGGACACUACCAAAUUAGUAAAAGGCAACAGACCUCCCCAGUGGAAGACAAAGGGGAAGAUCUUAGGGAAAGAUCUAAGAAAGGAGCGUUGGCGUAGAUAAAGAUUACACCGAGAAGGAAAACAAUAGUAGUGAAAUUAAUGAAUGGAAAAUUCAAAUAAAUAAGAAAACACUUAGAAAAGAGAAGAUUAAAAAAAAUCGAAGAAUAUCAAUACCAACCCAAAAGGAACAGCAGAAAAGUGAAAAAUCAGCAAAGAAUUCGCAAUAGACCGAAAGCAAUACUUGUCAAGGUCGAAAGUGAAAAAGAAUGUGUCGAAACCUACAGAGAGCUUGAGAUUUAUGGAAGCUCUCAAGAAAACGACUGGUGUUAGGAAGACAAGGUACGGGAAUAUCUUGGUCGAAUGAAUAAAAGCAAAAGCAUCAGCAAAUGAGAUUUCAGAGAAAAUAAAGACGAUUACGGAAAACCGAGUACAGUCAACACCACUACAAACUAUGGUGUCAUUGGAAGUCAAAAACAUCGAUCCGCUGAGCAAGGAAGAGCUCAGAAGCGACAUUUGUAGUGACUUAAGCAUAAGUAACAGAAACUGUGUCGACGUCAAAACACUGUCAAUAAACCCAUGGGGAACAUGACAAGCCAUAGUUGUGAUCCCCGCAUUAACUGUUCCUGCCAAUUAUAACAAUUUAAAAAUCAGAGCAGGAUUGACAGUAACAAGCAUAAAAAUCUUGCCCAAAAUCAAUAGAUGUUUUAGGUGUCAUAAAAUAGGACACACCUCAAAUCAGUGCAAAGAAGUUAGCUCUGGAAAGGCACUUUGCGGGAAAUGUAGAGUUAAGGGUCACAAUAUGGAGAACUGCAUUAACGAACCACGCUGCGCCAUGUGCAGCGCUCAUGGUUUAGCAAAUAAAAAUCGUGUCACUGGGUCAUUGGUGUAUCCUAUAUACAAAAGAGCGAUGAAAGAGGGGAAUACUAGAAUAAAAAGAUAAAGAUUUUGCAGACAAAUUUAAAUGGCUGCAAGUUGGCACAGGAUUUAAUGUACCAAUGCGCCUAUGAAAUCAGAGCAGAUAUCGUUAUCAUCUCUGAACCAAAGAAACAAUAGAUGUACUGGUACAAAAACAUAAAAGGUGAUGCAUCCAUAUAGGUUACAUUAUUUAACAGUGCACUUCCAUGUGAUGAUACCAUAAUACAGGAAGACGGUAUGGUGGGAAUAAGAAUAGGGGAUAUUUCCUACAUGAGUGGAUAUUGUUCCCCUAACAUCAACCUACUAUAAAUAUGUUGACAAAUUAGAAAGCUUAAUGAAAAGGAUAUAUAAAAAACAAAGUAAAAUACUUAUUGCUGGCGAUUAUAAUGCAAAAUCGACAGCAUGGAGCGGAGAUAAAACCGACAAAAAGGGUAGAACCUUAAUGGAAGCUUUGGAUGAGCCAUGGGGAAUUUCUCCACAAUAUUUUAGAAAAAACGCGUGAAGCCGAAUUAAAAAAAGUCUUUCUACCAAGGGGUAAGAAGAACGAGAACUAUUGGUGGAAUGAGAAUAUAGCUCCACUUCGAAAAAUGGAAAAUAAAAGUAGAAGGGCUGUAUUAAAUAGCCAACAAUGCGGAGGAUCUUACCAAGAUAUAUAAGCAGAAUAAAGGAACUGAAAAUAUUAAUUCAGAAAGACAAAGAACAAACGUGGAAGGAAUUCGUUGCAGUCUUAGAAUGGGAUCCAUAGACAUUAUAGAUACACUUUUCACCACAAAAACAAACAUAACUGCCGAAGAAGAGAGGCGGGAUGGUAGUUACGAGGAAGUAACAAGCGACGAUGUAUGUAUCACCGUCCAAAUGGAGGAGUUAGCGAAUGCCAUUGGACGAUUAAAUUUUAAACGGGCAGCUGGCGUGGGUGGGGUCUCUGGAACAAUAUUUAAAUUAUUAUUUAAGCAUAAAGCUCACAACAUACUAAGCAUGAUUAAUACUAUAUACAAAAUAAAUAAAAUACUUAAAAAAUGGAAAAAUGCCAGAGUAAUAUUGCAAAACCAGGAAAUAAUCCCCUCCUUCCUUCUUCCUAUUGGCUCAUAAGUAUACUACCUGCGAUGAGCAAGACAUGGGGGAAUACUUCGAAAUCCUCCACUGAGAAAUAUCUAGGGCAGGAGCCAUAUCACAAAAGCCAGUAUGGUUUCCGCAGAGGCAGGAGCACAGUUGGUCCCAUCAUAUAGGUUAAAAAAUUUGCAGAUUUCUGCAAAAAGAAAAAUUUAGUAUACAUCCAGAUGGCUGUCGACAUUAAAAAAUGUUUUCAACAUCCUUAGUUGGUAUACAAUAAUUAAGGAAGCCAGGCAAAGAAAACUUCCAGGAAACUUAUUGAUAUUAUAUGAUUACCUGAAGGACAGAGAGAUUAUAAUUCAAAGCAUUAAUGGAAAAUUUAAAAGUAAUGUUUACGCUAUUAUUAUGGAAUUUAGUGCACAAUGGACUUCUCAAUAAAUUUGAUAAUAUAAUAAAAUUUACAAACUGUAGCCUUUGCAGAUUAUUCGGCAAUUCUAAUGGGUGUCAAUAAAGAAGAAAGUAUAGAAAAUAAACUAAAUAUAAACAUAAACACAAUUAUGACUUGGUGUAAUAACGCUGGAUUGCAAAUUGCAAAAGAAAAAACAGAGAUUAUUCUAUUGACUGGUAUGCUAAUACCUAAGAUAAUAAAUGUAAAUAUUAUAAAUACGCUAAUUACUACAAAUAACACUAUUAUAUACUUGGGAUUAACAAUUGACAACAUCAGAAAUUACACUGCGUAUCUGGAAACAUUAUGCUGUAGAGCUGAUGCAUUUAGUCAGAAUGUUGAUAGUACUACUUCCCAACAUAAAUGGUCCUACUAACCUAGUUAGAAAAUUGUUCUGGGAAUCGAUGGUACUAUAUGCCUCUCCUGUAUGAGCUGAGGCUCC